rnacentral:rRNA from 1 species
UACGUAGGGGGCUAGCGUUGUCCGGAAUCAUUGGGCGUAAAGCGCGCGUAGGUGGCCUCGUAAGUCCGCUGUGAAAGUCAAAGGCUCAACCUUUGAAAGCCGGUGGAUACUGUGAGGCUAGAGUACGGAAGAGGCGAGUGGAAUUCCUGGUGUAGCGGUGGAAUGCGCAGAUAUCAGGAGGAACACCAAUAGCGAAGGCAGCUCGCUGGGACGUUACUGACGCUGAGACGCGAAAGCGUGGGGAGCAAACAGG